AAAUUUUUAUUUGAAAUGUUACGAACCGAUGUCGUUUAGGCCUCACAAAAACGAUGUCGUCUUUACUAAUCCACGUAAGCUCCAAUUCAACACUCUAGCGAUCGAAAAAAAUUGGGGGAAGAAAUUGCAAAACUUGAAAAAAUAGUGAUUUAAUUCGCCACACUCAAAAGACAUUAAAAUUGCAAAUUCAAAAUAGUUUAUGAUUUUAUUUUCCAAAAUUCCAUGAAACUUUGUAAGGCAAAGUAACUUUCAAUAUCAAAUUCAAAAAAUAAAUCUCUAAAAUCAAAUCCAAGCAUGAUAUGCAUAAAUUAAUUAUGUGUUUACUUAUUCUAAGCAUCUUAACUCUAAAGCUUACAUAUCAAUUACAGUAUAAAAUAGCUCAACAAGAUAAUAAUGUAGAUAAAAUUAUAUAUUUUUUAUUUUUAAUAUAAAAUUACGAAAAUAUCCUAGUAUUUUUGAAAAUCCCAGGGGGGCCCAGUGACCCCCCUGCCCCACCCCUAGCUCCGCCC
rnacentral:lncRNA from 1 species